GCAUCGUUGGUCAAACGGUUACGAUUCUUGUCUUCCAAACAAGCGGCCCGGGUUCGACUCCCGGACGAUGCA
rfam:Aspergillus aculeatus ATCC 16872 unplaced genomic scaffold ASPACscaffold_11, whole genome shotgun sequence.